GGGGCUGACUUGGAUUUCGACAGAUUUCUUGUCGCACAGACAGCAUGCCAAGCGCUGCUUGUAAAACAGCAACAAAAAUAACUGUAAACAACACAGAUUACGCUCCAGCUUACGCUAAAGCUGCGUGAGUUAAUCUCCUUUUGGAGCUGGACUGAUUAGAAUUUCUAGCGUUUUAAUCACUCCAUAACCUUAAGCUAGACGCUUUUAAAAGGUGGUUCGCCUUUUAAACUAAGAAACAAGAACUCUUGAAACUAUCUCAAGGUUUUAGAAAGUUGGACCAGAGCUAGUUUUAAGGCUAAAAAACUAACCAAUUUUCUAAGCAUUGUAGAAGUUUGUGUUUAGGGCAAGAUUUUUGGACUGGGGUUCGAUUCCCCACAGCUCCACCA
rnacentral:tmRNA from 2 species